rnacentral:rRNA from 1 species
CCACCGGAAAAAGAAGAGUGGCGAACGGGUGAGUAACACGUGGGUAACCUGCCCAUCAGAAGGGGAUAACACUUGGAAACAGGUGCUAAUACCGUAUAACAAUCGAAACCGCAUGGUUUUGAUUUGAAAGGCGCUUUCGGGUGUCGCUGAUGGAUGGACCCGCGGUGCAUUAGCUAGUUGGUGAGGUAACGGCUCACCAAGGCCACGAUGCAUAGCCGACCUGAGAGGGUGAUCGGCCACAUUGGGACUGAGACACGGCCCAAACUCCUACGGGAGGCAGCAGUAGGGAAUCUUCGGCAAUGGACGAAAGUCUGACCGAGCAACGCCGCGUGAGUGAAGAAGGUUUUCGGAUCGUAAAACUCUGUUGUUAGAGAAGAACAAGGAUGAGAGUAACUGUUCAUCCCUUGACGGUAUCUAACCAGAAAGCCACGGCUAACUACGUGCCAGCAGCCGCGGUAAUACGUAGGUGGCAAGCGUUGUCCGGAUUUAUUGGGCGUAAAGCGAGCGCAGGCGGUUUCUUAAGUCUGAUGUGAAAGCCCCCGGCUCAACCGGGGAGGGUCAUUGGAAACUGGGAGACUUGAGUGCAGAAGAGGAGAGUGGAAUUCCAUGUGUAGCGGUGAAAUGCGUAGAUAUAUGGAGGAACACCAGUGGCGAAGGCGGCUCUCUGGUCUGUAACUGACGCUGAGGCUCGAAAGCGUGGGGGAGCAAACAGGAUUAGAUACCCUGGUAGUCCACGCCGUAAACGAUGAGUGCUAAGUGUUGGAGGGUUUCCGCCCUUCAGUGCUGCAGCUAACGCAUUAAGCACUCCGCCUGGGGAGUACGACCGCAAGGUUGAAACUCAAAGGAAUUGACGGGGGCCCGCACAAGCGGUGGAGCAUGUGUUUAAUUCGAAGCAACGCGAAGAACCUUACCAGGUCUUGACAUCCUUUGACCACUCUAGAGAUAGAGCUUCCCCUUCGGGGGCAAAGUGACAGGUGGUGCAUGGUUGUCGUCAGCUCGUGUCGUGAGAUGUUGGGUUAAGUCCCGCAACGAGCGCAACCCUUAUUGUUAGUUGCCAUCAUUCAGUUGGGCACUCUAGCAAGACUGCCGGUGACAAACCGGAGGAAGGUGGGGAUGACGUCAAAUCAUCAUGCCCCUUAUGACCUGGGCUACACACGUGCUACAAUGGGAAGUACAACGAGUUGCGAAGUCGCGAGGCUAAGCUAAUCUCUUAAAGCUUCUCUCAGUUCGGAUUGCAGGCUGCAACUCGCCUGCAUGAAGCCGGAAUCGCU